UCAAGAGUACGUGAAACCGUUCAGGGGUAAACCUGAGAAACCCGAAAGAUCGAAUGGGGAGAUUCACCGUCAGCGAUGUCGGCUUCUCGGUGUUUCGUGAUGCGCGGCGCUCUUUCGGGCGACGUCGCACGCGUUCACUGUGCUUUUAUGUCCGGUUGCGUCGGCGUGCACUUCUCCCCUAGUAGGACGUCGCGACCCGUUGGGUGUCGGUCUACGGCCCGGGUUGUCGCCUGUCCCGUCGCUUCGGCGUCGCGGGUCAGACACCCGGUAGCCCGGCCGGCUGCUCGGCGGUACUCGCACGGUAUCUGGUCGCAAUCUCGAACUGCGUCUCAGGCCCGCCGCAAGCGCGGUCAGUGCACCUGGAGGUACGGACCUAGUGCCGUCCCCGGUCCUGGCUCGCUGUUCGCCGGCGGUGUCCUCUGACAGACCACGUGAUUUUGAUACCGGUCGGCGACGCUACUGCUUUGGGUACUUUCAGGACCCGUCUUGAAA
rnacentral:rRNA from 1 species